GGAGGUAUAGCUCGAGUGGUAAAGCACAUACUUAGCAUGCAUGAGGUUCUGGGUUCAAGCCCCAGUACCUCCU
rnacentral:tRNA from 1 species